rnacentral:lncRNA from 1 species
UUAAGAUCAAGUUGAUGUGAAACAUAACUAGUCUUUGCAAUAAUACGAUAUCAAGAGCUUAUCGAUAUAACGAGGAUGCACACAACCAACAAUCACAAAAAACAAGAAAAACAAAAUGGCAUGACCUCAACAUGUAUGCCGAAGCAAUCAACAAGACACAAUAGCAAAACCCCAACAUCAAUCACCCUUGUUGGCGGAAGGUUCUCCAAAGCCACGCUUCCAGGAAGAGAAAGGCAUCUGAACAUCGGCGUCGCGACAUCCUACCUUCAACAUGGAUUUUGCCAAUGUAAAGCAAGUUUGAUCCGUUUUCAAGGCAACGGCUUCAACAUGAAAACAAAAUAACUAAUCAAAAUUAGGUCUAGAGUUCACCAAACUCUAGAACCGAUACUCAAGGAGCAACAACAAAACGAAGUCACCAUAUAUUGCGGCCCCACUCGCCGAGAUAAUAUUGUCGCAACUCCCCGAUUGACAACGCAAAACGUUUGUACAGCCUUAAGCAUCUUCCCAGUCGAAACGCCUCUGAAGAGCGUUCUUAAAUUCUCUCUCUUAUGGGUCUAGUUGGUUCUCAUGAUUCCCAAAGCAUGUUCGGAAUAGCGUGAGAUGUUGAAACCUACAAGAAUUGAAAGCACAAGAAUUCAUAAUAGAAACCGUUUGGUUGCAUUGUAGAAAAAUGCAGGAGUUUUGAUACAUCGUCAGGUGCAUGGUAUAAUUAUCAUAGAAAAAUUCAUGAGGUUCACCUUAAUAAAUAUUUUCUCUAAAAUUGCAUGCAAAAUGAUCACAGGAGUAUUUCCUACGGUUUACAAUCCUACAAAACCAAACAAGCAUUCCUUAAAGAAUUCCAUGGAAUCUCAUCAAACCAAACAUGUUCCAUACAACCCUAAACCCCGAUACAUCUUGCCUCACCAUAUAAAGUCAUCAACUUAAGAUUUGAACAUGCCAAAGCGGUACUCCCUCCUUUCUAUGAUGUAAAACAUUUUUUGGCACCACAUCAAUGCCAAAAAACGUCUUACAUUAUAGGGCAGAUGGGGUGUUAUUCAAAAUGAAUUUUGUCUAGAUAGUACUCUGGAGGCAAUUCCUGUAGCUCGUACGCUCCAAAAGAAAUUCUGCAAACACAUUAUUGUAACAAGAUGGCUAAAGUGAAG